rnacentral:rRNA from 1 species
AUUGAACGCUGGCGGCAGGCCUAACACAUGCAAGUCGAGCGAGCGGCGGACGGGUGAGUAAUGUCUGGGAAACUGCCUGAUGGAGGGGGAUAACUACUGGAAACGGUAGCUAAUACCGCAUACCAUCAGAUGUGCCCAGGUGGGAUUAGCUAGCAGGUGGGGUAUAGGCUCACCUAGGAGACGAUCCCUAGCUGGUCUGAGAGGAUGACCAGCUAGACUGGAACUGAGACACGGUCCAGACUCCUACGGGAGGAAGCAGUGGGGAAUAUUGCACAAUAGGAGCAAGCCUGAUACAGCCAUGCCGCGUGUGUGAAGAAGGCCUUCGGGUUGUAACGCACUUUCAGCGGGGAGGCGUUACCCGAAGAAGAAGCACCGGUUAAUUCCGUGCCAGCAGCCGCGGUAAUAC